UUUAUUUCUUCAAACCCAGACAAAAUUUGUUGCCUUUGAUUAUCUGAUAGUAACAGGUGGUAGAUAUGAUUAUGAUUCCUUAGAAUGGAAGACAACUAAGCCAUGGUUUGAUCCCAACCUGAGUCUGCUGAUGAGGGCACUGGAGCUCAGGAAGAUUAUGUACACUGCCCAAGGUCACCAAGUACAUCGGUGACUAACAAAUUGGAAAGCUUAAAAAAAAAAAUUAAAACAUAAACUAUCACUUCAAUAGUCUCCUGGCCUUUAGUCUACUCUCAUCUAUCAUUUGUUUAUCUACCUGCAACAGAUAAUUACAUUUUGCAGGAGGGCCAUGAAUGUGGAUACACUUCUAUCACCUGUUAGAGAAGAGAUGUACGACGACAAAGAACAAUAGAUCCUCAGAGGUCUCUCAGCCUUCCUGAGAAAACCGGGCAAAGUGAAAAUUCAUGUUGGACUUCUUAUGAAGAUACUGUUAUCAUCAUAAUGAUGUUAUGUUCCAAGAGCUUCUCUGGCAUGGUUUCUAGAGUUCUGGACAUAAUUUCACCUGUUCUGAGUUGACAUUGUCCUCACAAUGUGGGCCCUGUGACAAGUCAAGAAUGUUGACAGUUGGGGCUGGCCUCUCAAUGGAGAGCUUUGCAGAAUUUGACAACUCAGCCAACUUCUACUUGGGGCUUAAUCCCACAUGCUUACUAAUGACACCAAAGAGGCCACAUGGCAUGUGUUUCCUACACUCCAUAGCUUCUACUCUCAUGCAGCCCACACAACUUUCUCCCUGAAAAAUCUAACUGGCAUUGACCUUUGCCAGGUCAUGGUUUAUCAAUCUCAGCACUCCUGGCAGUUGAGGCAAGAAAAUUAUCUGUUGUGGGGGUUGUCCUGCACCUCAUAGGGUGGGUAGCAGCAUUCUUUGACUCUACUUACUGGAUGCUGGUAGCAGUCCCCAACUUGUAAUCCAAAUAUUUCCAGAUAUUGACAAAUGUCCCUUGGGGGCAAAAGUGCCCCUGGACAAGAACCACUGUUUCAGAUGCUUCUUAAGAGAAUGACUGCCACUUCAAACUAGAGAGUUCCUGUUACGUGGUGAGCUUCGCAGUAGGAACAAGUCAUCCAGGUCUGUUAUGGUGGUCUUGCUCCAUAAAGGCCUCCAUCAUGUCAUAUUCCAGGCAGCAGAAUGAAUAGAAGAUUUCGAAAGAAAGGUAAAGAAGGGGUGGACAACCAGAAGUCUCUGCCAAGAGGGUCAAGGAAGAUCUUUCUGAGGAAGAGGUAAAGAUGAGAAGAGAGAGAGGCCAUGAGAAGAACUUUCUGGAAAGGCUUGAGAGGAGGCAAAUUUGGGCAAAAAGUUCUGUUUUGACCAAAUCCAAGAUGUGUAUGAGAUCUUCAAGGAGAGACGCAAGCUGGGAGCUGGAUGUAUGAGAACAUGGCCUGAAGGAGCAAAUUCAAGAGUCAUCAGCUUAGAGAUGGUGCUUUAAGGAGCAUCCUUUGAUGGGCCAGGAGUGUCACCAGAGAAUCAGCAAAAACAAAAGAAACAACCUCUGGACUCAACUCAGUAAAUCAUUGAUCUGAAGCAGCCAAGAGUUGAUGGUCACUUUCUGGGGACAGCUGUAUUCAGGGACCAGACUGUCUGACUGACUCAGGACCAGAAAGAGGUGAGGAGGGUAAGAAGGCCCUACUACUUAGAAACCCGAGUGCACUCCGAGUCCCCAGAGGAACAUCACUCAACACAGUUGUCCAAUUGUGACUGGUUAAAAUAGCAUGUAAGACUUUGAAAAUGGAUAGAGAAGACGGACACCUGCAGAUAGAACAGAAUGACUCAGAAGCAUCCAGCAUCCCUGCAGAUUCGAUGUAUUUCAUGAAAAUAAAUGAAUAAAGAUACAUAGAUACAUGACUUGCCCAAGGCCAUGUAGCCAUUAGCUAGGUCUGGGGCUCAACACUAGGAUGCCAGCUGAGCCUGCUGGAAACUUCUGCAGCACAGUAUUGUUAUCUGGAAUGUCUUCCUUCGCUUAGCAUGUGUCUGCCAGGACACUGCCUAUACUAGAAUAAAAUGACUUCUUGA